rnacentral:lncRNA from 1 species
GCCACUUCUAUCAUGAACAAGUUCAUCAAGUGGUGCGUGGUGCACCACUUCUCAAUAACUCUACGACGAAUACAAAUUUUACAAAAUCCACCGUUGGAUUGAAAGUUUAUAUCACAUGGAUCAUCCAUAGAAAUUUUAAAAAAAAUUGAAAAUCAUUUGAUAUGUUAUUGAGACCCGUCAAAAUUAACGGUAUUUAAUA